rnacentral:tRNA from 1 species
GGGUGCGUAAGCUCAGUGGUAGAGCACAUGCUUAAAAUGCAAGAGGUCCUGAGUUCAAUCCCCAGUACCUCCA